GAUGAAGAACGCAGCGAAACGCGAUAUGUAAUGUGAAUUGCAGAAUUCAGUGAAUCAUCGAAUCUUUGAACGCACAUGGCGCCUUCCAGUAUCCUGGGAGGCAUGCCUGUCCGAGCGUCGUUUCAACCCUCGAGCCCCCGUGGCCCGGCGUUGGGGAUCUGCCCAGGCAGUCCCCGAAAACCAGUGGCGGACCCGUUACAGGCCCUUCCCUUGAGUAGUAGCAUUCGCCUCGCAUCGGGAGCCGGCGGGCUUCCAGCCUCUAAACCCCCAUCAAGUCCGCCCCGGCGGCACCAAGGUUGACCUCGGAUCAGGUAGGAAUACCCGCUGAACUUAAGCAUAUCAAUAAGCGGAGGA
rnacentral:misc_RNA from 1 species